rnacentral:tmRNA from 1 species
GGGGGUGUUCCGGCUUCGAUUGGUACGGUUCGGGACGCCGGUUGCAGGUGGAGCGCCGAUCUCCUGAUUCGGCAACAUUAUAACUGCCAAAGCCAAAGUCGCUAACGACAGUUUCGAUUACGCACUCGCUGCGUAAUCGACGCGGCUCCGUUCCUACGCCUUGAGGAACGGUCAUCCGCGUUGCAAUCAAGGCUGGUCUUGUUUCGGGUCCGGACGGAGCAGUACGAGAUUUUUCGGAAUACGGUAGCGCAGCGCGCCGCAUAGCCACGCGCCUCCCGACAACAUAAUGUGCGGCUAAACCUGUAGACGCUUGCGGUUCGCGUAUCAGGACACGGGUUCGACUCCCGUCACCUCCAUUU